AAAUUAGCCUGAGAGGCACCUAAAUUAGCAUGUAAAAAAGUAGCACGUAAAAAGAGUAAAAGAUCUGUAACACAAUAGUG